rnacentral:tRNA from 1 species
UAGCUCAGUGGUAAAGCAUUUGACUGCAGAUCAAGAGGUCCCCAGUUCAAAUCUGGG